GAAAUAUGAGUAUAAACCUGGUACAUUUAUAGUGGGUGCGUACUUGCGAUUACUGUGCGUAGAUGUUUUUUUUUUCAAAACAAAUUAUGCUACAAACGAAAUGACAGCCACACAAUUUAUGUAAUUUUGCUAUGUUGUCCUCUUAAGACGAUUUACCGCCGAUAAAAAGGCGAAAUAAUGAAAUUCCGUAUAUCUAUCGCGUAAUUCGCUUUUCAAGUAUCAUUUCUAAACC